AACGCGAAGAACCUUACCUGGAUUCAAUCGACUUUGCACCGCCUGUAACGGGGCGUACCCGCAAGGGACAGAGUCGACGGUGCUGCAUGGCUGUCGUCAGCUCGUGCCGUGAGGUGUUGGGUUAAGUCCCCUAACGAGCGCAACCCCUGGCGCCGGUUACAUAUCCGGCGCAACUGCCUCGCAAAACGAGGAGGAAGGCGGGGAUGACGUCAAGUCAGCACGGCCCUUACGUCCAGGGCUACACACACGCUACAAUGGUCAGGACAAUGAGCUGCGACUCCGCGAGGGGAAGCUAAUCUCGCAAACCUGGCCUCAGUUCGGAUUGCAGGCUGCAACUCGCCUGCAUGAAGUCGGAGUUGCUAGUAAACGCUGGUCAGCAUACAGCGUUGAAUACGUUCCCGGGCCUUGUACACACCGCACUACUA
rnacentral:rRNA from 1 species